GUCUUUUAGAAAAAAAAUUGAAGGUCUAAUCUGCCCAAUGAUUAUUAAAUGGCCGCGGUAAACUGACCGUGCAAAGGUAGCAUAAUAAUUAGUCUUUUAAUUGGAGGCUUGUAUGAAUGAUUGAAUGAAAGAUUUUCUUUAUUAUUUUUAACAUUUUAAUUUAAUUUUUAAGUAAAAAAGCUUAAAUUAUUAUGUGGGACGAGAAGACCCUAUAGAGUUUAAAAAUUAAUUUAAUCUAUUAUUUUUGGAGUUUGUUAUUAAGUAGAUUAUAUUAACUUUUUUGUUGGGGUGAUAUUAAAAUUUCAAAAACUUUUAAUUUAUUAUUCAUUAAUUAAUGAUUUUAUGUUCUUGUUUUAAAAAUAGAGGACUAAAUUACCUUAGGGAUAACAGCGUAAUUAAACUAUAGAGUUCUAAUUGACAGUUUAGUUUGCGACCUCGAUGUUGGAUUAAGAAAAGAUUUUGGGGCAAGUUCUAUUAUUUCUAGGUCUGUUCGACCUUUAAAUUCUU
rnacentral:rRNA from 1 species